GAGACCAGGUAGGCCUGUUCCCUGGCCUCCCAACUGCCAGCUCGCAGUUCCAGUGCAGCCUUCUCCUUCUCCAGCAGGUUGUCCUGCUGAUGUCUCCCUGUCUUCUGUCCGUGUUGUACCGCGACACUGGUGGAGGUGCGGGGUACUGACUGCGCCUGAUGCUCCGGAGUCCUUCUGGGAGUCGUUCAUCUAGUCUGGACGCAUUGUCACCAGUUACGAUACCCAUGCAUCGCUUUAGUCGUCGACUGCUAGGCCUUGCCCCAGAGUUGUCCCCUCUUCAACCACCUCUCUCCAGGGGCUCCACACAUCUCGCAAUGGCCGAAACCAGCCUACAACAGACUCGUACUCACCCCAAGGCUGGCCAUUUCUGAUCCAAGGAUAAGCCUCGGUGAAGCAGGGGGUUCUGUUUUGCGCAAGCGGACUCGCUCAGCCAUCUUGGCCACAGGUUGUGCUGCCUGCUCAGCCAAUGGGGAUGCGCUGCCACCUGGAAUCUGACCACAGCUACUCUGGGGACUUGUGGCAACACGUUGCUGGAGGUCACGAAACUGAGGAAGUCAACAGAUACAGCACACUCCAUGUGCUGCCGACGCCAGCAGCUUGGGCUGCGAUAGAAAUGAGAUGACGUCCUGAACAGUAACAGACACGGUCGUCUCAUGGCUUCCUUGAACUUGAUAAGUGCAGCAUCUAGUGAUCUAUAGCUCGUGUUAAAAUGCAUACAGCAUGCACAGUUAUGCUAUAUACGUGCAUAACCUGGAUACACUGCUCUUGAGUUGAACAAUAACCAGACAUUGUCGAAAACAUGUAGGGUCUCCUGCAAGAUAUUCCUCUGUUUACUGGGCUGUGUGAUGUGGUACUGCUGUCAGUGUGGAAUUACGUUCCUGUAUAUGGCCAAAAGGGGUCAGAGUUGUGUAAAGAUCUGCCUUUUGUUCCAAAGCUUUUCAAUAAAGCCACUGUCGUGC
rnacentral:lncRNA from 1 species